GGCGAACGGGUGAGUAACACGUGAGUAACCUGCCCUUGACUUUGGGAUAACUUCAGGAGACUGGAGCUAAUACCGGAUAGGAGCUCCUGCUGCAUGGUGGGGGUUGGAAAGUUUCGGCGGUUGGGGAUGGACUCGCGGCUUAUCAGCUUGUUGGUGGGGUAGUGGCUUACCAAGGCUUUGCGGGUAGCCGGCCUGAGAGGGUGACCGGCCACAUUGGGACUGAGAUACGGCCCAG
rnacentral:rRNA from 1 species